GGUGGCUCAGUGGUAGCGCACUUGCCUUGCAUGCAUGAGACCCUGGGUUCAAUUCCUCAGCACCA
rnacentral:tRNA from 1 species